UACGGAGGGUGCAAGCGUUAUCCGGAUUCACUGGGUUUAAAGGGUGCGUAGGUGGGCAGGUAAAUCAGCGGUGAAAUCCCCGAGCUUAACUUGGGAACUGCCAUUGAUACUAUCUGUCUUGAAUACCUUGGAGGUGAGCGGAAUAUGUCAUGUAGCGGUGAAAUGCUUAGAUAUGACAUAGAACACCAAUUGCGAAGGCAGCUCACUACACGGUCAUUGACACUGAGGCACGAAAGCGUGGGGAUCAAACAGG
rnacentral:rRNA from 1 species